CGAGAUUUCCCGACUUCUUGAGCAAGAAAAGAAGAUCACUCAGCUGCAUCUCGAGAAUCAGCAGGACAGCCAACUGGGGCAUUACAAAAAAAAAAAAGAGGAGGGUGCAAAAUCAAAAGAAAUCAAAAGAAAUCAAAAGAAAUCAAAAAAGAACAAAAAGAAAGAAAAAGAAAGAAAGAAACAAAAGAAAAGUAGCACCCUCAAAGUCCCAAGUUGACUGAUGCUGAAUG
rnacentral:lncRNA from 1 species